rnacentral:lncRNA from 1 species
GGGAUGAGAGGCCACUUGCAGAGAGAAGCCACAGGCAGCAGAACGAGCCCUUUGGUCUCCCUGGUGGUCUCUCGAAGACCUUUCCAGAGGCAUCACGGAAGAGCAGGGAAGCCAAGGGAGCCAGAGGGCCACCUGCCCCAGCACCCUCUUCACAGGCACAUUGUUCUGAUGAAGCAAUUCAGAAAACACACACACUGAUAUCCAGCAGUGAUCUUCACCUCUCCAUUGCCAGCACCCAGGAGCCAUUAAUUGCUUUUUCAAGAUAUGUCUGAAGCGAGGACAAAAGCAAAGAACUUCAUUUGGGAAUUUGGUGUAGUGAUAAAGGAGGGAAGAGAGAAAGCAGAAGUGCCCAGUGGCUUUUUCCUUCUGUGCUAUUCAACAAGGCAGCCCAGUGUUCAACCCUAAAGAAGGUAAAACAAACAACGCAAAGAGGGAAUUUCAGUUUCAGAUAGGCUCUUGCCUAUUGAGCUAGUGAGAGACAGCCUAGUCACUUCAAGUGGCCUCAAGAAUCCAGGCCAGUAUGAAUUGGAUUACAGGGCCUCAAGGAAUUUCAGAAUCACUAACAGUCAUCUUUGAGAGAUUAUGAGAAGCAGAAAAAUAAUAAUGGAAGACUGAGGAGAGUAAGGGAUUGUCAGAGAAAGUAAUAUUUGCUCUUUGCUGCUACAGAGAACCAAAGCAAAACCAAUGAAUUUCAGUUAUAAAUAGAUAUGAGUGUCAAUGAAAGGAGGGAAGUUAUAUGUGGAAUCUUAAAAAGGUGGUGGGGGGCGGGUGUACAAAUGAACUUAUUUGCAAAACAGAAAUAGAGUUACAGAUGUAGUAAACAAAC